rnacentral:rRNA from 1 species
UACGUAGGGGGCAAGCGUUGUCCGGAAUCAUUGGGCGUAAAGAGCGUGUAGGCGGCCCGGUAAGUCCGCUGUGAAAGUCCAGGGCUCAACCCUGGGAUGCCGGUGGAUACUGUCGGGCUCGAGUCCGGAAGAGGAGUGUGGAAUUCCUGGUGUAGCGGUGAAAUGCGCAGAUAUCGGAAGGAACACCAGUGGCGAAAGCGGCUUCCUGGUCCAGCACCGACGUUCAGGCACGAAAGCGUGGGGAGCAAACAGG